rnacentral:rRNA from 1 species
CGUAUAUUAAAGUUGUUGCAGUUAGAACGCUCGUAGUCGGAUUUCGGGGCAGUCCGACCGGUCUGCCGAUGGGUAUGCACUGGCCGGAGUGUCCUUUUUGCCGGAGACCGUGCCUACUCUUAACUGAGCGGGGGCGGGAGACGGCACUUUUACUUUGAAAAAAUCAGAGUGUUUCAAGCAGGCAGCUCGCUCUUGCAUGGAUUAGCAUGGGAUAAUGAAAUAGGACUUUGGUGCUAUUUUGUUGGUUUCGAACACCGAAGUAAUGAUGAGAAGGGACAGUCAGGGGCACUCGUAUUCCGCAGAGAGAGGUGAAAUUCUCAGACCCGCGGAAGACGAACCACUGCGAAAGCAUUUGCCAGGGAUGUUUUCACUGAUCAAGAACGAAAGUUAGGGGAUCGAAGAUGAUCAGAUACCGUCGUAGUCUUAACCAUAAACCAUGCCGACUAGGGAUUGGAGGAUGUUCACUGAUUGACUCCUUCAGCACCUUACGGGAAACUAAAGUCUUUGGGUUCCGGGGGGAGUAUGGUCGCAAGGCUGAAACUUAAA